AGUGAACGCUGGCGGCGUGCCUAACACAUGCAAGUCGAACGCGAAAGUCCCGCAAGGGAUAAGUAGAGUGGCAGACGGGUGAGUAAUGCAUAGGUAAUCUACCCUUGAGUGGGGGAUAACUCCGGGAAACCGGUGCUAAUCCCGCAUAAUGUCCUGAUGCACAAGUAUCUGGACCAAAAGGGGGGAUCCUUCGGGACCUCUUGCUUGAGGAUGAGCCUAUGUCCUAUUAGCUAGUUGGUGAGGUAAUGGCCCACCAAGGCUAUGAUGGGUAGCCGAGCUGAGAGGCUGAUCGGCCACACUGGAACUGAAACACGGUCCAGACUCCUACGGGUGGCAG
rnacentral:rRNA from 1 species